UAAGGGAAAANCUGUGCAGAGCCGCUAGA
rnacentral:piRNA from 1 species